rnacentral:rRNA from 1 species
GAAACCGUGUACGUACAAGCAGUGGGAGCCUCUUUAUGGGGUGACUGCGUACCUUUUGUAUAAUGGGUCAGCGACUUAUAUUCUGUAGCAAGGUUAACCGAAUAGGGGAGCCGAAGGGAAACCGAGUCUUAACUGGGCGUUAAGUUGCAGGGUAUAGACCCGAAACCCGGUGAUCUAGCCAUGGGCAGGUUGAAGGUUGGGUAACACUAACUGGAGGACCGAACCGACUAAUGUUGAAAAAUUAGCGGAUGACUUGUGGCUGGGGGUGAAAGGCCAAUCAAACCGGGAGAUAGCUGGUUCUCCCCGAAAGCUAUUUAGGUAGCGCCUCGUGAAUUCAUCUCCGGGGGUAGAGCACUGUUUCGGCAAGGGGGUCAUCCCGACUUACCAACCCGAUGCAAACUGCGAAUACCGGAGAAUGUUAUCACGGGAGACACACGGCGGGUGCUAACGUCCGUCGUGAAGAGGGAAACAACCCAGACCGCCAGCUAAGGUCCCAAAGUCAUGGUUAAGUGGGAAACGAUGUGGGAAGGCCCAGACAGCCAGGAUGUUGGCUUAGAAGCAGCCAUCAUUUAAAGAAAGCGUAAUAGCUCACUGGUCGAGUCGGCCUGCGCGGAAGAUGUAACGGGGCUAAACCAUGCACCGAAGCUGCGGCAGCGACACUAUGUGUUGUUGGGUAGGGGAGCGUUCUGUAAGCCUGUGAAGGUGUACUGUGAGGUAUGCUGGAGGUAUCAGAAGUGCGAAUGCUGACAUAAGUAACGAUAA